CACCGCGGUUAUACGAGAGGCCCAAACUGAUUAAACUCGGCGUAAAGAGUGGUUAUGGGAAUAAGACACUAAAGCUGAAGGCCCCCUAAGCCGUUAUACGCACUUGGUGACCCGAAUCUCUAACACGAAAGUAGCUUUAUUUUACCAACCAGAACCCACGACAGCUAGGCCA
rnacentral:rRNA from 1 species